rnacentral:rRNA from 1 species
ACUUUCAGCAAUGGAUCUCUUGGCUCUCGCAUCGAUGAAGAACGCAGCGAAACGCGAUAUGUAAUGUGAAUUGCAGAUCUACAGUGAAUCAUCGAAUCUUUGAACGCACCUUGCGCUCCUUGGUAUUCCGAGGAGCAUGCCUGUUUGAGUGUCAGUAAU